AACCUCCGCAAUGUGAGAAAUCGCGACGGGGGGAUCCCAAGUGCCAUUCUUAACGGGAUGGCUUUUCAUUAGUGUAAAGAGCUUUUGGAAUAAGAGCUGGGCAAGACCGGUGCCAGCCGCCGCGGUAACACCGGCAGCUCUAGUGGUAACAAUUUUUAUUGGGCCUAAAGCGUCCGUAGCCGGUUUAAUAAGUCUCUGGUGAAAUCCUGCAGCUUAACUGUGGGAAUUGCUGGAGAUACUAUUAGACUUGAGACCGGGAGAGGUUAGAGGUACUCCCAGGGUAGAGGUGAAAUUCUGUAAUCCUGGGAGGACCGCCUGUUGCGAAGGCGUCUAACUGGAACGGUUCUGACGGUGAGGGACGAAAGUUAGGGGCGCGAACCGGAUUAGAUACCCGGGUAGUCCUAACUGUAAACGAUGCGGACUUGGUGUUGGGGUGGCUUUGAGCUGCUUCAGUGCCGAAGGGAAGCUGUUAAGUCCGCCGCCUGGGAAGUACGGUCGCAAGACUGAGACUUAAAGGAAUU
rnacentral:rRNA from 1 species